rnacentral:lncRNA from 1 species
ACAGAAGACCAAAUGAAUCGAUAAAAAUGGAAGUUGGGGGAUCACUAACCGAAGCAAAGAAAGAAAUGAAGUCAGAGGAUUCUGAGCACAAAUUGGGGAUUGGUUCCGCAUAUAAGAUUAAUUCUUUGUUCAAUUUACUUAUUGCCAUUCUGAAUCAUGCAUAGUGAUUUGACAUUUAUUGGAUUGUGGAGCAUCAAAAUCUGCUGGUAGCAUGUUCCAUGCGGAGGGGAGAAAGAAGGUGCUUUUAUUACCUUGACUUGAUAAUUUUUGUCAUCUAGGUUUAGAAUUUCUGUUGCAGUUCUUCAAUGUUA